GACGAACGCUGGCGGCGUGCUUAACACAUGCAAGUCGAACGGAAAGGCCCUGCUUUUGUGGGGUGCUCGAGUGGCGAACGGGUGAGUAACACGUGAGUAACCUGCCCUCGACUUUGGGAUAACUUCAGGAAACUGGGGCUAAUACCGGAUAGGAGCUCCUGCUGCAUGGUGGGGGUUGGAAAGUUUCGGCGGUUGGGGAUGGACUCGCGGCUUAUCAGCUUGUUGGUGGGGUAGUGGCGUACCAAGGCUUUGACGGGUAGCCGGCCUGAGAGGGUGACCAGCCACAUUGGGACGGAGAUACGGCCCAGACUCCUACGGGAGGCAGCAGUGGGGAAGAUUGCACAAUGGGCGGAAGCCUGAUGCAGCAACGCCGCGUGCGGGAUGACGGCCUUCGGGUUGUAAACCGCUUUCGCCUAUGACGAAGCGUGAGUGACGGUAAUGGGUAAAGAAGCACCGGCUAACUACGUG
rnacentral:rRNA from 1 species